CCCCCAGAAAGCGCCGUCCCAGCACCUUGCCGUCAAGUCGAAGAGACGGCCGCUCUGCCGGUCCCGAACUGGGACCCGGGGAAAACAACCCUCCUGCACGGCGAGGAUCGAAUGAGCAACCCACAUUCUUGGAGGUAAAGUCCAAGUUCUAAUUCCUGCCUCACCUGCUGAUCAUCAGGUGGACUGCUGAGGCUCGAGCUCAGGAGCAACCCGUAUUGAAAAGUCUGCAUCCAAAAGGAUGGCCGCUCUUGCCUCUGGUUCUAAAAACUGUACGUAAUGACUCAGCUCUCACUGGAGCCAUAGUGCUGCAUCCAGUUUCCCUGCUGGUGGAAGCUCCAGUAGAACCUUCUCAUCCCCAGAGAAGCACAUGAGAGAAGUCCUAGCUGUCCUAGGAACUCCUUGCUGUAAUGAAUUGCGUCCCCAAAGCCUCCCGCAUGCAAGCACCUCUGCAGCACUGAAGCGGUGAAUGAUGGCAUCAGAAGGCAAUAUGGAGAAUGCAGUGGCCAGUUUCAUGUGGGACACACCUGAGCAACUGGGAGCUGAUGCUCCACCAAAACUCAAGAUGGAACUCAGCAAGAUCCAGCCCACAGGGGGUACAAGCACAGCACGACGGAGCUGUCACUAGCAGCACUUGUCAGCCUGCUGUACAGCUAUUACGGGCAGCCCUGCUACGUGGAGGGAACAGCAGACAUGCAGUGGUGUUGGUGCAUCAGGCUCAUGACCUCCUAGGUAAGCUGUACAAGGGUGAGGUGGGGGAGAUGAGGUCCAAGCAUGGGCUACGCACCACUGAGCAACCAAGCUCAUCCUUGCCUUCUCUCCAGGGGGCAAUGUUCGGUGAGUAGAGCAGUGCCUUCCUGUUCCAAGAAGUCUAGAUGGCUGGGACUGUGAAGGAGCUCCAAGGAGGCUUUCCAAGUUCUAAGGAGCACACCAUUUUGCAGAGCACCCAAGAGAGAACAUGGGAGCGCUACAAACUGAUGGCAAAGUGGGACAUCACAGCCAACUGCUGCCUGUGUAAGGAGCUGACGAGAAACAAUCCCUCCCUCUCCAUCUGAUAGGCAGGUAAGAACGUACUCCCAUGGUCUUCCCAGCUGGGAAGUCCAGACAGGCCAAGCCUUGAGAAAGGGAGCACCACAGGCACACCCACAUAGCUUUGUCCUUAUGACAGACAGAAGAUGUUCCUAUGGCAGCUAGUGCUCAACAACUGCGCCCAUCAGUGGGGUAGGACAGGCUGCCCUGGAAAGUGGUGGAGUCUCAGUCCCCCGAGGUUCUCAAGAAGCAUGUAGAUGUGCCACUGAGGGGCAUGCUUUAGUGGGUGUGGUGAUAAUGGGUCAGUGGUUGUCCUGGAUGAUCUUUGAGUCCUGAAAUCAUAAAACCCUUACAGUUGGAAGAGACUUUUAGAUGUCGUCCAGUCCACCUCCCCUGCAGUGAACAGGAUCAUCUACAGCUGGAUCAGGUUGACCCGGGCCUGAUCUUAGAGAUCUUCUAUGUUACAGACUCUGUGAUUGGUACAACUCUAAGACUCACGCUCCCCUCUGCGUCUCUCCAGAGGUAGUUCUUUAACACUACAUUUCCCCACCCCACCAAUGUGUCCUCUCUCCAGCAAGUAAGUGGAGCUACAUGGACGUAAAGGGUGGAUGGUAAAGCCGGAUGAGCUCCACCCUGUCAACCGUUUGCUGAACUGCAUCACCAUCCCAAAGUCCCCUCCUGUCCCAUUCUGCACAAGAGGGACAAGGAUCCAGACAGCCCUUGGCCUCUGUUUCCCCUCCUCCAGCUCUGUGUGAUGACAUCCUCGUGGUGCAGGGUGACACUCAAAGGCCACAAGUGCCUUCCCUUCAGGCAUGACCUCCUCCAGUCUCUUUUCUUUCAGUUUCAUCUGCUUUGCUCUGCCCCAGGCAGCCUUGCCCACGACCUCAAGUCUGCCAGCUCACCCUACCCUCCUUCCUUCCACUACUGAGCUGUUCAGGCUAAGCCAAGCACUUCUGACAGAAGUGCUGUCACAGCUGAUAAACCAGAAGUACAGAGGAUGUGGAAGCCAAGUGAUGGGUGAAGUAGAUGACCACCUAGAGAUCUGCCUGGAUCAAUUAAAAUUCCAGGCACUCCUAGUGCAUCAGUUGUCCAAGGGUCUGGACAGUUGUUGGCCCUUCAGUCCCUCUGCACAAAUGUUGCCAGGACAAUGACAGAAAUGGAAACAGAGGGAGUAGGGGAAGAGCUCAGUGCAGCUCUUGGGACUUGAGGAAGGUGGGUGCUCACUUUGUGCUACGUUAUAGCUUCAUCCAGGGGCAUGGAGUGGGUAGGAAAGCUGACUUAGUUUGCAACACCUCCACAUUCAAAACACAAGCACUUGGCCCUGAAGUGCAGCAGCAGCAGCACUCAGUCACCAACUACAUGGCAUACCUCUGGCCAGAGGUAAUGCGCUGCGCUCCACUGCUCUUUACAGAGUGGUUUUCAGGUCACUAUCACCCGAAUCCAUCCCUGGUGUUCCCUCAGGGAUUCAGGGCCGGGAGCACUCCUGUGAGGAAAGCAUAAGAGCACUGAGUUGUAGAGAGAUUCCCGACUCCCUUCCCUGACGGUCUUCAAAAGCCAGCAGCACACAGGCCUGGGAAACCUGCUCUGAUGGUCCUGCGGGAGAGUUCAGAACCAGAUCAUACAACCUUACAGCCAUUCAGUUGGGAAAAGACCAGGUACAAUUGUUAACCUACACAAACAUAGAAUCACAGAACCAUACCCUCACAGAACUGGAGAAUUAACGGAGUCAUUCAGAUUUGUAAACAGCUGUAAGACUCAUUCCAGCAUCACGUAACACAAGUCCACCACUAAACUGUCCCCACACACCUCAUCUACAUACCUCUUACACCCCUCCGGGCAUGACGACUUCAUUAAGCAAAACUCCCCCCACCACUGACCCCUAACCAUGUCUGCUUCUGUGCUGCUCGGUCAGCAGGAUGAGGCAGAAGUUUAGCUAGCAAUUCCUGGGCGCAAAGGACACAAGGGAGAUGGAUAGGUGAGUACCUGGGGCCUGGGAGUGCUGCCCCAUGCCCUGCAGUGAACAAGUAACCCCUAGAAGGCAGGGUGAUCCCCCAUACCUGCAUGCAGCCUGCUAGCCCACUUCCCUCCUGCAUUCUGCAGUACUCCUUCCCCUUGGGCCAGUUUCUUCCCCUGUGCUGAGAUGGAGUUCAAGUUGUGGGUGACAGUGGCCACCAUCACUGAGUACAAGCACUCCUCCUGGGACUGCCACUUAACCAUCAGGGAUCCCCUCUAGGCAGAUGGAGGCCAGACCACCUUCCAGCAUCCAUGCUGGGCUGAGGGCUGUUGAAACCACUCACCUCCUGCGUUUCCAGUGUCUCAUAGGUACCAUGAGUGGGUAGCUGACACAUCCCCAGUUAAAGUCCCUCUGACAAGCUCUGAUCAUUCACAGAGCAUGUCUAGCACUUCUGCGAUGCUUAUUCAGCCUUAGGUCAAUGAAAACCUGCUCCUGGAGAUGCCUAAUGCUGUAAGGCCAUUCUUUGCUGUGCAGAAGGACCCCAGCUUCUCCCCCCAUGGGCAUCAUUUUCCUUUCUGCCUCAUUCCUCUUCAUCCUUGUGCACUCCCUCCUGCUCUCCCACACCAUCAGGGCUGCAGGUACCACCCUUCACCUUGACCUCAUUCCCAACAACCACAGACCAAAAAAGGUGAGCGUGACUGAUUCCCCGUGUCGUGGUUCCCACAAUGGUCACAUUCGUGCAGUCAAGGGACAAACGCUUCCUUAAAGAGCUUGGGUUUAAGUAGUGCAAGCAGUGCCAUUGGCAAAGAGGCUCCCAUGGGUAACCUUCGGACCCUCCUCCCCCAAUCUUCCUGUAGCUCUUCUUGCUUUGUCUCCCAUCAGAAUUACUCCUCAUGAGAUGGUUUUGCAGGCAGCGGACAUCUCAGGUCCUGCCAGCAGGAUACAUACAUUCACCUCCAUAUUGUCCUAACUUGGACCUAGCGGAGUGGAAUAACCCCCAUAACAUACCACUACACCAAUGAUCCCCUAUUGCCAUCUCACCGGAAGCAUUAGGAAAGGCAGUAGACUCAUUGAUUACUACCUACAAGAGAAGGGUGAGCUAUAAAGCCCCAGAAGGAACAAGCACCAGGCUUGUCACAGUGAAAGCCCUGCCUGUAGCUUGCUCAGGAAAGCCCAAAUAGUACACAGUGCAAUACAGACGGUUCAGGUGUUCUGCAUCCCUACUGCACCAAGGCAGGUGCAAGAACUUCCGGGUCCACGCAAUACUGGCAUUACUCUUACACCUGCAUACCACAGCUGCUGUGGCCUUUCACCAACUCACAAAGGCCAAAAACAUGGCUGGAGGAAUGAAACAACGUCUUCCAGCAAGACAGAACUACCUUCUCAACAGGCCCAGGUGCUGGGUACACUCAAACCCACCCUUCCAGCUGAACUAGAAACACACGUAACUGAGAAUGGGUUUGGCUAGGGCCUGUGGCUGAGGCAGAACUCCAUUUAAACCCAGUUGUGUUCUGGUCUCAGUUCUGACACGGAGCAGAAGAGAAGCGUAGCAUGAAAAAGUUAUCUGGCUGCCUACUCUGCAUUAAAGGUGGUAGUGCCAAUAACCCACACCGCUGAAGUCUCACUUAAGGCAAUUUCUCCAAUUCAGAAGCAGGUAAAACAUCUGACCCACCUCCCUAAGGCACGGUACACCAAACAGACAGCAGCAUGAUGGAUCACCUACUUCAGCCAGUGCUGCAGUUUGUCUUUAUCACCCUUGGAAGAAGAGCUUUGGAAGACCCUAGGCAUGGUCUCAUUCAUGCAAGAAUCCAGAGCUGAAGUUCACUCCCAGCCCUGUGCAUCAGCCAGUGUCCCCCCUUGCCAUCCCAUAGAAUUCACCAACAGGUCCACAUGGGUCCAACCACACUCCACAUUCCUACAGGACAAUCAGGGAUACCCACAUUGUUACAAUAGGCAUAAGUUGUAGUGACUUAACAGGCCUGACGGUGGCUCGAUACACUUGACCAUUUGCUGUCUAGAGGGCACUGUCAGACACACACACACACAGGUCCUCCUGUUGCCUCAAAAGUCUCACAGUGGUUGUGAGCUCCUUGAACCACAGAGGUAAGGAGCCCCGGUGCAGUGGGACCCACUGCUGGCCUCAGACUUCAUCAAGCCUUUAUGUCAAAGGGGUCAUGUGCAAAAGCAAUCUAAGAUAAAACCUCAUGAAAAAGCUGCACAUGAACCUUUAACUGCUUAGCAAGGAUCAGUAUUGGCAAGGUAUCUCAACAUCAAGGUGUGAGGGCUCUUUCUCCAGGUGUGAACUCAAGAGACAGCCACACUCAAGGGAAAUCCUGUCAAUGAACCUGCUGUCGUGCAGGAGAGCUCGAGGGGCAGUUGGGCUGUCCGGCAUCUUUGAGGUAGGAUGAGUGCCAGAUUUUGUCUGAGUGCACUCACAGUUGCCCCCUAGCUGUUACGUCUGACAGCAGUUCUUUUGACCCCCCCAGGCCAAGAUGCGUUUGUGACCAUUAAUCUGCUUUCACUAGAACACCAUCAAUACUGUUGCUCACAGUCUUUGUGGGCUAGGCCUAAUGUUCAAGGCCAGGACAAAGAAGGACAUUCAAAGGAAGAAAGCAAGUGUGGAGAGCAUGCUGGCUGUGCUGGGAAGAAAAUCUAGUAAGACCAGUGUUCCCAGUCAGAGUGCCAGGUGGCUUUUACCCCCAGGCAAUGCCCUGAAAAGGACUAGGGAGGGCUGGACUUGGACAGAAACAGCUACACCCCCUCACACCUCCCCUGCCCUUUCUUGCCUCAGCACGCUCCCAUGAGUCUUCUGCCUUUCACCAGCGAUCAUCUGAUCCAGACCUACAGGAAGGCUUCCACUCACAAAUAGACGAACUACACUAACUUGUAACAGCAGAUUGAGUAAAAGAGUCACAUACCUGAUGUCUAGUCCUGGUUUUCAUACCUGUAAUCCAACCACAGCAAACACAGGGAAGGAAAGCACAACCACACUUACACAAAAGUCAGAUGUGUACUUGCAAUACAAACAUCAAAGAAACAGACCACCACCCUACUGUCCAGAUGUGUUAAAACACUCUAAGACACACAACUGCCCAAAAGACCCUUCACUGUAAACAGUAACCCCAUACUCUUCAGGACACAAAAUAAUCCAUAGCAGGAUGAUUUCACAUGACCUCCAGGAGAGCAACAAAUGACCACAGUACAUCCAUCGCACGUAGGGGCAUGGGGAUGCAGGCAGAAGCAGCCAUGGGGUGAGGGAUGUGAACACACAGGGAAAGAGGGUUGCCAAUUCACAUGCUGGGAUAGAGAAGCCACCGGCACCAGAGUUCACCUUCCCCACGAGCUCCUUCCCUGGGCUUCGAGUGAUACCAGCAAACAGCUUCUUGCAGGAUGUGGCUGUGCAUUUCAGCAGGGAGAAGUGGGUGCUGCUGGGCCCUGCGCAAUGAGCAUUCAAUGCCAAGUACAGGGUCAGGAUGACUUCCCUCGUCCUGCUCAUCACACCGUUCCUGAUCCAAGCCAGGAUGCCACUGGCCUUCUCGGCCACACUGCUGGCUCAUAUUUGGCCCACAGUCAACCAGUACACCACAGUCCCCUUCCAUGAGACAGCUUUCCAGCCACUCCUCCCCCAAGACUGUUGUGACCAAAACGCAGGACCCAACACUUGACCCUAUUUCUUCCUCUCCAGCAGAUCAACACUCCCUCCCCCAUUGGAGUCACCUGCAAACUUACUGAGGGUGCACUCAACCCCCUCAAGAUUGUUCAUGAAGACAUUAAAUAGAAGCAGCCCCGAGGACUGAGUCCUGGUGCACACUGCUCAUGAGCAGCCACCAACCCACUUUAACUCCAUUGCCAACUCUUUGGGCCCAGCCAGCCACCAUUUCACCCAGCAGAAUAUACACCCAUCCAAACUGUGGUCAACCAGCUUCUCCACGAGAGUGUUGUGGGGGGGACAGUGCCAAAAGCUUUCCUGAAGUCCCAGUAGACCCCAUCACCAGCCUUACCUUUGUCCACUAAGUGGGUCACCUUGUCAUAGAACAAAAUCAGGUUUGUCAGACAGGAUCUACCAUUCAUAAACCUGUGCUGACUGAGCCUGAUCCCCUGGUUGACCUUUAAUUGAUCCCUUAUGACUCCAAGAUCAUCUGUCCCAUGAUCUUCCCUGGCAACAAAGCCAGACUGACAGCUCUGUAUAAAUUAGGCCUGGAUCACCUUUCCAGACCUUCUUGAAGAUGAGCAUCCCAUUUCCCGCCUUCCAGUCCACUGGGACAUUCCUUCUUAGCCAGGACUGUUGUAGGAUGAUGGAGAGCAGCUUGGCAGCCACAUCCACCAACUCCCUCAGCACUCCAGGGUACAGUCCAUCUGGUCCCAUGGACUUGUGAGCGACCAGCUUUCAGAGCAUGUCCAAAACCAUCUCAUCACGGUUUAUGCGUAGAUUAUUCUGUUCCCCACCCCUAUCUACCAAUUCAAGGGGCUGUGUGCCCAGGGAGUAACUAAUCUUACUAUUAAAGACUGGGGCAAAGAAGGCAUUAAGUACCUCAGCCUAAUGCUUUUGGUCCGACAAAUUUGGAGAAAAAGACAAAAGGAGACUUGUUGGUGCCUACUACUGCUGCAUCAUCGAACAGAGCCUGUUGAUGAAUGCUUCUUCCUAAAGCUACAAGCAGUGUUACUAUCACAGGCUCUUGUCCUGCUGGGUGAUUUCAACCACCCUGACAUCUGCUGGAAUAGUAGCAUGGCGAGCUGUAGGCAAUCCAGGAGGCUCCUGAAAUGCACUGAGGUUAAUUUCCUCAGCCAAGUAACAGAGCCCCACCAGGGAGAUGCAGUGCUGCACCUCUGACUCACCAAUGCACGUGGACUUGUUGGUGACAUCUGGACUGGAGGCUGCCUGGCCUGUCGUGACUCCACCUGCAAUGGUGGAGUUCAUAUUCCUGAGAAAUACGGGACAAAAUGUAAAAUCAGGAUGCUAAAUUUUAGGAAAGCCAACCCUGAGCUCUUCAGGGACCUAGUCAACAGGACCCCCUUCAAAAGUGUCCUCAAGGACAAGGAAGUGGAGCAGAGUUGUCAGAUCUUUAAGGAAGCUUUUCUUCAGGCACUAGUGCUCUCCAUUUCUGGAUGAAGGAAGUCAGGAAAGAAAGUCAAGAGACCAGCAUGGCUGAACCAGGAUGUGGUGGUCAAACUGGACAACAGGAAGAAAACAGUAGGCAGUGGGAGCAGGGACAAGUACUCUGGGGGGAACAUAGGGAUGCUGCUGGGCUGUGUAGGUAUGGCAUCAAGAAGGGCAAGGCUCAACUGGAACUGGUCUUGGCAAGAGUGAAAGAAGAAUGAGAAAGGCUUCUACGGGUACAUAAACUAGGAAAGGAAAGUCCAAGGAGGUUUACCCCUGUUAGUGAGCUCACAGCCACAGUGUGGGUGUGGCGAUGGGCCUCCCAGUGUCCCAUAGUCCAGGCCCCAUGUACAGCUCUCCAGCCUCUGGAGCUCAGGAUCCCUGUGCCAGUGGAACUGCAACUGUGACGGGCAUGAGUGGGCCAGGAGGAAGCAGGGAUGAAGAGGGAACAUGGGUUCUGAAGUGGAGUGGCUGAAUGCGCUGACCAUGCAGCAUUUUUCCUGUUCCAUAAUGAAGCUGAGUGGAAUUCCUCAGCAGCAUGUCAGAGGGGGUGAGGUUUUUUGGGACAUACACCUAAAACAGUCCUAAGCUAGCUUCCUAAAGCCAAGCACUUCAAC
rnacentral:lncRNA from 1 species